CACUUUUUGUCUCGAUGACAAACUGUGUUGAUGUUUUCCAGGUUGGUGGAGGUUCAUCAUCAUCUCUGUGGGUUUAGCAACACUCAUCAUUAUCGUUGUUACAGUCAACAUAUGGAUGAGAACUAAAGGGAACAAACCACAGAUGGAUAACACCAGUGUGCACAGUGAUGAAGAUGAUGGUACAGUGACGUAUGAAAACCAUGGAGACCCUUCUGUUUCUGUCAGACUCCACUGAUCAACAGCUUCAAAUGAGUCAACUGCUGUUGUGUCACCAUCUCGUCUAGUGUGACAUGAGCAGCUGGAUCAGGAGAUGAUUGUCAGAUUGUGGAUGACUGAUUGUUUUUUAAUUUAAAUUUCAUUUCAUAUGAACAAACCCACUGUGGGUUUACACAACAUCUGU